rnacentral:rRNA from 1 species
CUGGCUCAGGACGAACGCUGGCGGCGUGCCUAACACAUGCAAGUCGAGCGGGUAGGUACUUUAAUGAACCUUCGGGGGAUUUAAAGUACUGAAAGCGGCGGACGGGUGAGUAACGCGUGGGGAACCUGCCCUAUGCAGGGGGAUAGCCUCGGGAAACCGGGAUUAAUACCCCAUAACACUUAUGGACCGCAUGGUGCAUAAGUCAAAGUGUUUAGCGGCAUAGGAUGGCCCCGCGUCCCAUUAGCUAGUUG